rnacentral:lncRNA from 1 species
AAGGAUAUAUAUUUAAAAAAUCAUUAUAUAUAAUAAUAAUCUUUCUUAGAUACCAAAUUAACGGUUGUUCUUAAUUUUUUUAGGCUUCGUUUGGAAUUGCGGGAAAAUUACUGAGAAAGUACGUUGGAAAAAUACCAUAUUUGUUUCCGUGUGUAAUAUUGCGUUCCGCAUAUAGCGAUGAGUCGGUUACGGUAUAUUUUCUGCGGUCCCAUCGGAGAACGCAGAAGCAUAUCUCUAUAUGUUUUUUUCUCAACUCUAUUUUAUCUAAUAAGAUAGAUCUCAAUACCAAACUAAGCGUAUAAAACAUGAGUAAUAUGCUUUUAAAUUCUUUGAUACAUAAAUAAAAUAAUAAAUAAUAAUAAUUUUUUU